ensembl:snoRNA SNORD11B small nucleolar RNA, C/D box 11B
CGGCUGUGAUGAUGAUGCUGACAGUCGUCUUCAUCCUGAAACUUUCGGUGUGGGUCAGUCACUACCUCCUCUGAAUAGCCG